UAACAAUGAUUUCCCUAGUAACGGCGAGUGAAGAGGAAAGAGCUCAAAGUUGGAAACUGUUUGGCUUAGCUAAACCGUAUUGUAAACUGUAGAAACAUUUUCCUGGCACGCCGGAUUAAUAAGUCCUUUGGAACAAGGCAUCAUGGAGGGUGAGAAUCCCGUCUUUGAUCCGAGUAGUUGUCUUUUGUGAUAUGUUUUCAAAGAGUCAGGUUGUUUGGGAAUGCAGCCUAAAUUGGGUGGUAAAUCUCACCUAAAGCUAAAUAUUUGCGAGAGACCGAUAACGAACAAGUACCGUGAGGGAAAGAUGAAAAGAACUUUGAAAAGAGAGUUAAACAGUAUGUGAAAUUGUUAAAAGGGAACCGUUUGGAGCCAGACUGGUUUGACUGUAAUCAACCUAGAAUUCGUUCUGGGUGCACUUGCAGUCUAUACCUGCCAACAACAGUUUGAUUUGGAGGAAAAAAUUAGCAGGAAUGUAGCCUCUCGAGGUGUUAUAGCCUGCUAUCAUACUCUGGAUUGGACUGAGGAACGCAGCGAAUGCCUUUAGGCGAGAUUGCUGGGUGCUUUCGCUAAUAAAUGUUAGAAUUUCUGCUUCGGGUGGUGCUAAUGGUUAAAGGAGGAACACAUCUAGUAUAUUUUUUAUUCGCUUAGGUUGUUGGCUUAAUGACUCUAAAUGACCCGUCUUGAAACACGGACCAA
rnacentral:rRNA from 1 species